UGCUUUUCAUCUGUUUUUUCCAGCAGGUUUGUGUGCAAGGUGCUAGUGUCAACGAUGUGACCACGUGGUCUAUUUUAGGUUAUUUUGAUAACCCUCCUAUCAUCUAUUUGUACCAUUUGGACCAAGUUGAAAAAUACAUCUUCUUCAUAACCAAAGAGGAAGAAGAGUGAAAUAUAACAAAUGAAAGGGGAAAAUCAAUUUCAAAACUCGACACCUUUUGGAGAGCCAAGGUCUUUAACUAUCGCCUAGGCUAAGGGUGUGCUGCUGCCAUUUUAUAAAAAAAGCAUUAAUUCAGAGCCUAAACAUGCUCUGUCCCCCUGUAGUGUCUCUGAUGGUACUGCUGCCAUGAAUGCAAACCUGAGCAGGGGGGAAAGAGAAGAGGUGUACCACAAACUCCGAGGUUGACACUAGCACCUUGCUUCUCACUCCUGGCAUAGACUGUGUCCUCCUAACACACUUGGAGACACACAAACCUGCUGGAAAAAAACAGAUGAAAAGCACCAUGAAACAAACAAGCAACUAGCCAAAGAUUGCCCCUUUGUGAUAUCAAGAUGCAGCAGAGAACCAAAAUGUGCUGAAGUUAGUGCUAAAAAUUCCUACGGACCAUAAAGGUCAGGGGGAUGCCACCAAAGAGACAUAACCCAAUCACCCACAUGCCUGCAGUGGGCGGGGUCCAAGCUGAGGCCCAGCAGGGGGCUGUCGGGAAGCCAGAAAAAGGCCACCUCUUCCUCCCACCUGCUCAUUCCCUGGUCCACUCCUCAAGCCUCCAGACGUGCGGCUCGCCAGGGAGACCUGGCUGAAAUGGAAGGGGCUGCAAGUGUCCAGAGUCCUAGCCACGACGGACAGGCUGUCUGCCACAGGCAAGAUGGAAGAAUCUCCCCCAAGGAAGGCCAGUCUCUGAAAGAGAAGGGGGGCGAUCGCCAUUCCUCCGAAAGACGCAGAGAAAAAGGAAGCCUGGAGACCCGAGAGGGCUCUCGGAGCAAAGCAGUGCACACCAGGCACAAGCGGAGCAGAAGCCCCACUGGCUGUCCUGACAGGCGGGGCCUCCACAGCAAAGACAAGAAGAGGCAGGGACCACCCUCCCCAGCCCAGGCGAGAGCUAAGGACCGGUUUUUCUCCUCCAGAGCAGGACUUGACCGCAGAGGAGGUAGGUUUCUGGGCAGGCGCUUGGCACAGGUGGGGAUGUGGGCCUGGAGCCUGAGGGGUGCACCAAGCCCCCCAGGAGGCCGGUGGGCGGGCAGGGAGUGACGCUGGCCCUAGGGAGGGGCCCCUGAAGCCCGAACUGGCUGGGAGGAAGGCAUCCAGGUGUGGGCCCCGGUUCCCAGCAGAUCCUGGAAGGGGCCCCAGGGUCCGGUGCGGUGGAGAGUGGGUGCUCGGAGGCCGGGGGCGGGGACGGGGGAUGAGCUGGGAGUCUGGACUGGGAAGGGGGUGAGGGUG
rnacentral:lncRNA from 1 species